UUAUUCGUCUUUAGUGGCAAACGGGUGAGUAACGCGUGGGAAUCUGCCCUUUGGUGGGGGACAACUAGGGGAAACUCUAGCUAAUACCGCAUAUAAUUGGUAACAAUGAAAGAUUUUAUUGCCAAAGGAUGAGCCCGCGUCAGAUUAGGUAGUUGGUAGGGUAAUGGCCUACCAAGCCUGUGAUCUGUAGCUGAUUUGAGAGAAUGAUCAGCCACACUGGGAUUGAGAUACGGCCCAGACUCCUACGGGAGGCAGCAGUAAGGAAUAUUGGACAAUGGGGGAAACCCUGAUCCAGCAAUGCCGCGUGAAUGAAGAAGGCCUUCGGGUUGUAAAGUUCUUUCGCUUACGAUGAUAAUGACAGUAGUAAGAUAAGAAGGUCCGGCUAACUCUGUGCCAGCAGCCGCGGUGAGACAGAGGGACCUAGCGUUGUUCGGAAUGACUGGGCGUAAAGGGUGCGUAGGUGGUUACUUAAGUAGGGUGUUAAAU
rnacentral:rRNA from 1 species